rnacentral:lncRNA from 1 species
GUGAUGGACAUCACCAUCCAAAGUCCACGUAUGAAGACACAAAUUGGUGUCAACAUACUUUUUCUGUAUGUGAAAAAUUGUGCUGUAUGUGUGUAAUGAGAAUUGUAAUGCAUUCCACUAUCAUGUAUUUUUAAAAAAAUCAAUAAUUUUUUUUUAAAUCACAGAUAUAUGUAUACUUCACUCUUAGGAAGUAUGCAGAAUAUGGAAACCCCAGAGUCACAGAGCAGAAGUUGGUGACCAGGGCCUGGGAGGGCAGGAGAGUGACCGUCUGCCUGAGGGACACCUGGUUUCCUUUGGUGGUUAUUAAAAGCUGUGCAACAAGGAAAGGUUGUAAUAACAUUGCACCAUUUCAAAUAUCACUAGAUCCGAUUUUCAAAUGGACACUAUCAGGAGAAAUGAAUCUCAUUUAAAAACAAAACCCCCAAAAAAACCUGAAAAUUCUGGGAUUCUACUCAGUGACGUCGGGUAUAAACUCUGGUGACAGGAAGACACUGUGGCGCUGCAGACCCCAACCGUACUCUGGACCACCGACUCAGAGUUGUUAGGAAUACCGGCUGCCAGGAACUGAGAACCUACUCUGCCGAGUCAGGUGUGGCUCUAGCUUCUUCCUAAACCUUGGUCCUAAUUUUCCCAGUGGUCUUGGGUCCUACUUGGAGGAAUCCUGACUUUAUGGAGAACAAACAAGGGCUGGAAACCAAACUGAUUGUCCCAGGGUCACCCACCAUGCAGACCAGGGCUCUGAUGGACUGAUCAGUCUUUGAAAAAUCAACUCCAGUCCAGGGUCAUUUCUGGACAGAGGAGGGGGAAAGGGAGGAAUUAUCAAGGCUCCAGGAACCUUCGAGACUGAAUUAGUCUUCACGUCCUUAUUGUGGGGAUGGUUCCGUGGGUGUAUGUAUGUGGCAGACCUAACAAGCUGCUCAUUACAUAUGUGUGGUUUAUUCUUAUCAUUUUCACCUGAAUAAAGUUAUUUUUAAAUGAAUGAAAGAUAUUAAAAGAAUUCAACAAAAGGCAGAUGCCAACUACACCUAAGGAAAUAUGGCAGACAGCACACAUCAUUAUGGAAUUGUAAGAAAUAAGUUAAUUUGAAAAGAAACAAAAAAAAUUGACAAGACAAAAAUUUGGUUCUUUAAAAAAUAAAUGAAAUUGAGAAACCAUUAUCCACAAAGAGAAUGAGGGAGAAAAUUCAAAUUACUAAAAUUCAUGAUGUAAGAGGAAGUAUCAUGGUGGACACUAUUGAAAUACAGAAGGUGAUCAGAAACUGUUUUGAAAGUUUAUACUCCAAUAAUAUGCAAAAUUGUGAAGACAUUGACCAAUUACUAGAGACAUGUGACUUCCCCAAACUGAAUCCGGAGGACAUACAUGGUUUAAGCCCAUCAAUUUAAAAUAAUGAAAUACAAAAUGCCAUCAAAAGCCUACAACUAAGAAAAGCCCAGGACUAGAGAGACUGUCAGCCAAGGUCUAUGAGACCUUCAAAGCAGAAAUAACACCAAAUUUCUCAAAUUAUUUUGUGAAAUAGAAAAGGAGGAACCCUUCCAAACUCAUUCUAUGAAGCUAGUUUCACCCCGAUACCAAAACCAGACAAAGAUACAAGGAAAGAAAAUUUCCCACCAGUAUCCCUGAUGGUCACAGAUGCAAAAGUUCUCAAUAAAAUUCUGGCAAAUAGGGGCUGGGGCUGGGGUUCAGUGGUAGAGCACUCACUCGCCUGCCAUGUGUGAGGCACCGAGUUUGAUCCUCAGCACCACAUAAAAAAUAAAUAAAAAUAAAGUCAUUGUGUCCAUGUACGACUAAAGAAAAAUAUUUUUUAAAAAAAAUCCUGGCAGAUAGCAUACAAAAACAUGUUUAAAAGAUAGUCCACCAUGAUCAAGUGGGGUUUCUCCCAGGGAUGCAAGGUUGGUUUAACACAUGGAAAUCAAUAAACAUAAUUUAUCAUACAAAUGAACCUGAAGAUAAGAGUUGUAUGAUUAUCUUGAUACAGUGCCGCAGUCUGGCUGGGCACAAUCAGGAGCCACUUGUCAAAAGAAACUAACUUUAUUUUUAGAACCACACACGCCAAACAAAACAGCCUCUCAGGAAAAACCCUCAGAGCCUCAACUGCCACCACCGGCUUUCCACAAGCCUCUCUCUCCCACACAAGCUUCUCCCCACCUCCCACAAUCCUCCUGCUCUUGAGGCCGAUUGGCUGGGUCACGUGGGCGGAGCCAAAAAAGUCCCCCAAUGAGCAGCUCCGUGGUCUGAAAGGGCAGGGAAACAGCCCAAUGAGCAUCACCGCAGAGGAGCCAAUCAGCUAGAUGUUGCUGGGGCCGCUGUGAGCCAAUCAUCAGCCGGCAGCUGGAAGUUUGCUGGCAGCUGGAAGUUUGCUGGGGCCCCUUCGGCUGUGGCUCUCAACAAUACAGAAAAAGCAUUUAACAAAAUUCAUGCUCAAAAUAUUAGGAAAACUAGAGAUAGUAGGAACAUACCUCGACUCUGUUAGAGCCAUCUAUGCUAAACCCAUGGCCAGCAUCAUUCCAAAUGGAGAAAAAUUGAAAGCAUUCCCUCUAAAACCUAGAGCCACACAGGGAUGUCCUCUUUCACCAUUUCAAUUCCACAUCAUCCUUAAAACACUAGCCAGAGCAGUUAGACAGAAAAAGAAAUAAAAGGGAUACAAAGAGGAAAAGAAGAACUCAAAGGAUCACUAUUUGCUGACAACAUGAUUCUAUAUCUGGAAUAUCAAAAGAAUUCCACCAGAAAUCUUCUAGAACUCAUAAGUGAAUUCAGCAAAAUGGCAUGAUAUAAACUCAUGACCCAUAAAUCCAAUGUGUUCCCACAGAUCUCUGAUGAAUCCUCUGAAAGAGAAAUUGGGAAAACUACCCCGAUCACAAUAGCCUCAGAAAGAAAAAUACAAUAUUUGCAAAUUAAUCCAACCAAAGAGGUGAGAGACCUCCACAGUCAAACAUCAGAACAGCAAGGAGGGAAACUGAGGAAGGCCUUUGAAGACGGAGCCAUCUCCCACGUUCUUGGGUGGGCAGAAUGAAGCUUGGGCCAUUGUGACAAUGGCCCUACUGCCAAAAAGCACUGCACAGAUUGAAUGCAAUUCCUAUUAAGACACCAAUGAUGUUCUGCAUAGAAAUAGUAAAAGAUGUCAUGAAAUUCAUUUGGCAAAAUAAGAGGCCCCGAACAGCAAAAGCAAGCCUUAGCAAUAACGGGGUCAAAGGAGGCAUCAAAAUAUCAGUCCCUGAAUCACACCACAGCGCGACAGUAACAAAAGUGGUAUGGUUGUGGCAUGAAGACAGACAGACCAACAAAACAGGAUAGAAGACAGAAACCCACGUAGACAGUUCUCUCACACUAGACAAAGGCACCAGAAAUACAUGGGAGCAAAGAAUGUCUUCAACAAAUGGUGCUGGGAAAACAGGAAAUCCUUCUGCAGCAAAGUGAAAUUAAACCCCUCCCUCUCACCCUGCACCAAACUCAAGUCAAAGUGAAUCAAGGACUCUGGCACUACAGCAGAGACCCUGAACCCAAUGGAAGAAGAAAUUAGCCCCAGAUCUCCACCAUGUCGGCUUAGGAGCUGACUUCCUUAACAAGACCCCUAAAGCACACACACACACACACACAAAAAAAAAAAAAAAAUCAAGAAUCAAUAAAUGAGAGGAAUUCAAAGUAAAAAGCUUCCUCUCAGCAAACGAAGCAAUCAGUCAUACAGAGAGAGAAUCUACAGAAUGGGAGAAACUGUUUACCACAUGCACCUCAGAGCGUUGAUCUCAAGAAUCUAUAAAGAACUCAAAAAACUUUAACACACACACACACAAAAAAAAGCCGAUCAGUAAAUGGGCAAAGGAACUGAACAGACACUUCACAAAGGAAAAAACACAACCCAUCAAACAAUAUAUGAGCAAAUGUCCCCCGAUAUGUAGAUGCUAAUCACAAGGGAGGCACUGGGGUGGGGGAUGGAGGUUGUUUGGAGUAGAGAGGGGAGUGGAGGGAGGAAGGACAGUGGAAGCAGUCAGACAUUAUUACCCCACAUGCACAUACGAUCACAUGACUGGUGUAUUUCCACAUCCUGUAUGGCAAGGAGGAUGUGAAGUUAUACUCCAUUUAUAUAUGAUGUGUCAAUGUGUUUCACUGUCAACUGUAACUCACUGUAACCAAUGCAAGAAAAAAAAAAAAGAAUCCAAGAAUUACAAACCUAUAGAAAUUAAAACACUGUGGUACUAAAAAAGUACACAAUCUACAGACCAAUGCCAGAGUGAUCCCCCAAGGGCUUGCUGCACACUCAGCUUUGACCAGUGAGCCCAUAAUAGAUAAAGGACAGUCUCUUUGACAAAUGGUGCUGAGGACACUUGAUUAUCCACAUGCAGAGGAGAGAAAUCAAAGACUUAUCUCCCACCAUACCAUACCAAAGAUCAACUCAAAAGGGAAAAAAGUGAAUGGUGAGACUUGAAUCUGUAACCUUCCUAGAGGAAAAUCCUGGGGCCCCAUGUACCCACCCCUCCCCAUCCUUCUAAAGUGAUGCGUAUCAUCUCGAUUCUAGUUGGAUCCCUACCGAGUGUGACGUGGAUCUGAAUAUCAUGCUGUACUGAUUAGCAGGAAAAGUUAUUAUGUUUCUAUCUAAAAUCAAAGAAGAAUAACUUGGUGAGUAAAAUAUAAAAAGAAAACACAAAUGUCUGACAACAUUGCUUUAGGAAAUGGUCCCUUAGCUGUGACACUAUGACAUGGGACAGAAUCAUAAACAGGCAAGUGAAACGUCAUCAAACCAAGAGCUUCUGCACAGCAAGGAAAGCAAGAACAGAGAAAAGGAUCCAGCUGACAAUGAGAGAAGUUACCUGCAUAUCCCCUAAGAGCACAGUGUCUCAAUACAGAGGUCAUCCCUGGAACUCUAGCAAAACACGGGUAAAAACACCUAGAGUCCCAGUGGUUCAGGAGGCUACAUGGGGAGGAUCACAAGGUGGAGGCCAGCCUCAGCAAGUGAGCAAGGCCCUAAGCAACUCAGUGAGGCCCUGUCUCUAAAUAAAAAUAUAAAUAAAAUGAUCUGGGAUGUGGCUCAGUGGUUAAGUGCCCUGGGUUCAAUCCUUAGUGGAAAAGGUCAGAAAAAACUUAAAAUUCUAUAUUUGUUAAAUUCAUCAUUUUGAUCCAAUAUGCCUAUGUUAAUAUGGUUUUCUGAUUACACUCUGCUUUAUUCUAAGGCCAACUUACAAGGGUUAACUCUCGAUCUAAUAGGUUUUAAAAGUAAGCUACAAGGCUUUUGUUUGUUUGCUUUGUGUGGGUUCACUGGUGUAUGUAUUUGAUACAAAAAAAAAUUGAUCUGUGAGCUCAUAAAUUAAAAGUUUUAAAAAAUGGAUCCAAAUACCUUUGGUUAAUAUGAUUUUAAAAGUUCAAUUUAAAUUGGAAAAAUAAAUAAAAAUACAAAUGUCUUUAAGUUUAUUAAUGCACAGUUUUGUUUCUAGAUGGUUAAACAGCUGUUAAAAUGUUAAUGUCUAUAAAGUGACAUCCAUGGUCUCUAGGAUUUUUCUUUAACAGGAAAAAAGAUUACUAAUACUAUUCAAUGCACAUGUCUGAUAGUUCGUUGUUUUAAAAAGAUACGUAAGUUACACUUAAAUGUAUAUGAAAUUAAUCAUGAAUGUGUUUGUUAGAGACAUCCAAUUGGUUUACAAAGUUAAAAUGCUAACUGUUAAAUGUAAUAUCAAGAACUCUUAACUCCUUAAGUUCCACACACACACACAAUUUAUGAAAACACCAACAUUGUUUAACUAAAAAAAAUUAAAAUUAUUUUGUGUUAUCAUAAAAACAAGGUUACUAUAAAUUAAAAGUCCCAACCGGUAUAAUUCUACAUACAAGGAGUCAAGAGGUUUCAACUGCAGUUCAAUUAAAGUACUGUAAAUAAAAAAAAUUCAUCCAUUUUAAUAAGAUAAAAUAUUUAUCUAAAUUUAGAAAUUUAUAAGGGUUAUUUUAAGGUACAAACAAAAAGAAGGAUCAGUGGAUUUAAAAUGACCAAAAAGUCCUAAAUAUAAGAAUAUAUUUAGUAAAAAAAGUUUCCAGGUUAAAAAAAAAUUAUGUGGUAAAGUAUAAUUAGAAUAGGUCCAAGUGAACCACAAGGGUCUAAUAAUAUAAAGAUCUACGAAUAAGAGAUAAAUAUUAAAAGGUUUAUAUGUAACUAAGCUGGUUAUAUAUGUAACACAAAUAGGGAACAACCUUCAAUAAUUUUAACUAAGGACAAAUAUUAAUGUUCUGAUAUAUUUAUAUCUUCAAAUGACAAAAACUUCUAAAAAUAUAAGUUACAUUGUGUGUUAAGUUUUAUCCCCUAGAGCAAGUAAUCUUGGAAAAAUUAAGGUUUGUACAUCUGUGGUUAGACAGCAACUGUUAUUUUAAAGUAUUGUCCUACGUUACAGAGUCUAGAUUUGUUUAAAAGCUAACCUUGGUCAAUAUAAAAACAUCAAUAAAAGUGUGGCACGUUACUCUUCUCUACAGAUUAAAUGUGCUCAUAUCUUUCAGGCAUAAAAGUCUUUAAGGUAAAAGGCUUUGAUAGGCCUUGCUAUGGGGACAAUUUCCCAGGUCUUCCGCCUCCUGGUAAGCAAUUAUUGAUUUCUGUCAUUUUCAUGAUAUUCAUGGACAGAUUCCAGAUGCUACAACUGCUAUUUUGUGGUAAUCUUGUUUCACUACUCAUGUCUUUGUCUCUCUCAUAGAGGUGCCCACCCCACGUGAAUUUACAUCCUGGUCUUCCUGAAUUAGAUUUUUACCAUGGACUCCUUGACCCACUCAGUUUCUAAAAAAGGACUCCAAACUGCUGCCCACUGCACAUUGCUCCCCUCUCAGAUCAAAGCAAGAACAGUCAUCGCCCUUUUCCUAACCAGUAGGAGGUCCCUAACAUUAGGGGGAAAAUCACGAUCAGUAUAGAUGUUUGCCACUAUGUCUAGUUCAGGAAGAUGGACCUGGAAAACUACUCCCAAGACCACCCUGGGUGACCUCCCAGAAAGAGACACUUGCUUCCACAACCCAACUUGUAAGUGGGACAACUCCCUGUUCACCAAAAAUUGUACUUCCCGGGUCCCACUUUGAACUCCUUGCCCAAGUCUCCAAACUGUCAAUAACUCUGAACUAUGGAACCUACUAUUUUGAUGGAAUUUAAAAAGGAAAGGAACACCUGGACUUAUUACAAGGCCAGGGCCCACUGAUUUAUCAACCCAGAUGGGCUGCCCCCAUUGGAGUUCCCCUCCUGGCUGGUUUGGGAAUAGCUGGAUCUUCUGCUUUAGGAAGGCAGCUCUGAUCACAGGCUCUAAAAAUGUUAAGUCCCUCAGCCUCAGAUAGAUAGAGAUUUACGAGAACUAGAAAGGUCAGUCUCCAAACUAGAGGUGUCCCUAGACGCUCUGACAGAAAUAGUCUUACAAAACAGAUGAGGUCUAGAGCGUCUCUUUCUAAAACAAGGAGGACCUAAAACAAUUACCAUUUCUAAAACAAUGUAUGGCCCUAGGAGAAACUUGUUUCUAUGCAAACCAUUCAGGGAUAAUCAAGGACAGUUUGGUGCUAAUGAGAAACAGGUUAAAGGAAAGAAAGGAAGCACAAGACACUUCAGGCAAUUGGUUCCAAAACUUAUUCUCAAGGUCCCCUUGGUUGAGUAUCAUCAUUUCAGCCAUAGUUGGGCCCCUAGUCCUUCUCCUGAUUGGAAUUCCUGUAGGACGCUGCCUCUUAAAAACCCUCCUAAACCAUAUACACAAGAAUGUAGGUGAGGUCCGACUUAUGGGCUUGUGAGCCCAGUAUGGUCCCUUAGUCACAAAAGGAUGGGAAAGAAACUGAGGCCUAAUGAUGUGCGAGAUUGACAUCAAACCCACUAAAACCAGUGGGGUCUGUGAUAGUAAAAGCAAAUGUGACUCCGUUUUGUUUUGUGACUCUGUUCUGUCAAACAACCAGGCCAAGUACAAGGGUCAUGACUGGGGCAAGAUGUUCUUUUCCUUUUGCUAUGGAAACCUUUAAGAACAUGGAACUACCUAAUGGGGCAUUGUUUCUGUAACUAGGGUAAGGGGACUCUCUGUAACUGGGGUGACUGGGCUAACUGGUUAUUCCCGCCACCUGACUGCACUCUCCCGCUUCUGUGACCUGGCUUGCUUGCAUUGGCUAGACCCCCCUGAACAUCCCUUUUGUGGUUUUCAGGCUUAUAAGGAGUGCCCUUGCAAUUUUCCGGGGCUGAUCAGGGGCACAGCUUUAUACUCUGGUCAGCCACCACCGGUGUGCUUCAAUAAAGGCUUGAUUGG